AUUGAACGCUAGCGGGAUGCCUUACACAUGCAAGUCGAACGGCAGCGCGGACUUCGGUCUGGCGGCGAGUGGCGAACGGGUGAGUAAUGUAUCGGAACGUGCCCAGUAGCGGGGGACAACCACUCGAAAGAGUGGCUAAUACCGCAUACGCCCGUACGGGGAAAGGGGGGAUCGCAAGACCUCUCACUAUUGGAGCGGCCGAUAUCGGAUUAGCUAGUUGGUGGGGUAAAGGCCUACCAAGGCGACGAUCCGUAGCUGGUUUGAGAGGACGACCAGCCACACUGGGACUGAGACACGGCCCAGACUCCUACGGGAGGCAGCAGUGGGGAAUUUUGGACAAUGGGGGAAACCCUGAUCCAGCCAUUCCGCGUGUGCGAUGAAGGCCUUCGGGUUGUAAAGCACUUUUGGCAGGAAAGAAAUCGUGUGGGUUAAUACCCUGCGCGGAUGACGGUACCUGCAGAAUAAGCACCGGCUAACUACGUG
rnacentral:rRNA from 1 species